rnacentral:rRNA from 2 species
AGACCCGAAACCCGGUGAUCUAGCCAUGGGCAGGUUGAAGGUUGGGUAACACUAACUGGAGGACCGAACCGACUAAUGUUGAAAAAUUAGCGGAUGACCUGUGGCUGGGGGUGAAAGGCCAAUCAAACCGGGAGAUAGCUGGUUCUCCCCGAAAGCUAUUUAGGUAGCGCCUCGUGAAUUCAUCUCCGGGGGUAGAGCACUGUUUCGGCUAGGGGGCCAUCCCGGCUUACCAACCCGAUGCAAACUGCGAAUACCGGAGAAUGUUAUCACGGGAGACACACGGCGGGUGCUAACGUCCGUCGUGAAGAGGGAAACAACCCAGACCGCCAGCUAAGGUCCCAAAGUCAUGGUUAAGUGGGAAACGAUGUGGGAAGGCCCAGACAGCCAGGAUGUUGGCUUAGAAGCAGCCAUCAUUUAAAGAAAGCGUAAUAGCUCACUGGUCGAGUCGGCCUGCGCGGAAGAUGUAACGGGGCUAAACCAUGCACCGAAGCUGCGGCAGCGAACGUAUCACCCAAGACAACUUUACGGAGUUGACGAUUGACGGAGCGAAGCGACGUCAAAGCGUUCAUUAAAGUCGAGUUGGCUUAGGGAUACGUUCGUUGGGUAGGGGAGCGUUCUGUAAGCCUGUGAAGGUGUGUCGUGAGGCAUGCUGGAGGUAUCAGAAGUGCGAAUGCUGACAUAAGUAACGAUAAAGCGGGUGAAAAGCCCGCUCGCCGGAAGACCAAGGGUUCCUGUCCAACGUUAAUCGGGGCAGGGUGAGUCGACCCCUAAGGCGAGGCCGAAAGGCGUAGUCGAUGGGAAACGGGUUAAUAUUCCCGUACUUGGUGUUACUGCGAAGGGGGGACGGAGAAGGCUAUGUUGGCCGGGCGACGGUUGUCCCGGUUUAAGCGUGUAGGUGUGUGUUCCAGGUAAAUCCGGUUCACUUUAACACUGAGGCGUGACGACGAGGCACUACGGUGCUGAAGCAACAAAUGCCCUGCUUCCAGGAAAAGCCUCUAAGCAUCAGGUAACACGAAAUCGUACCCCAAACCGACACAGGUGGUCAGGUAGAGAAUACCAAGGCGCUUGAGAGAACUCGGGUGAAGGAACUAGGCAAAAUGGUGCCGUAACUUCGGGAGAAGGCACGCUGACACGUAGGUGAAGUGAUUUACUCAUGGAGCUGAAGUCAGUCGAAGAUACCAGCUGGCUGCAACUGUUUAUUAAAAACACAGCACUGUGCAAACACGAAAGUGGACGUAUACGGUGUGACGCCUGCCCGGUGCCGGAAGGUUAAUUGAUGGGGUCAGCGUAAGCGAAGCUCCUGAUCGA